rnacentral:tRNA from 1 species
GCGAGGGUAACUAAGCCAGGCCAACAGUGCAGGACUUAAGAUCCUGUCCCGCAGGGGUUCGCGGGUUCAAAUCCCGCCCCUCGCA